rnacentral:SRP_RNA from 1 species
GGCCAGGUCCGGCGCACAGAAGGAGUGUCAAACCCCGCCAGGGCCGGAAGGCAGCAACGGUAGAUAACAACUUUUGGUGCCGCCGGGCCACCUGGCCUUU